rfam:Octopus bimaculoides Scaffold79293_contig_26, whole genome shotgun sequence.
AUUUCGCUGAUGAGCCACAGAUUCCGAAUUAGUUUAUUUGGCAAUUAAUGGCGAAACUCGAGUCCGGGAU